rnacentral:rRNA from 1 species
GACGAACGCUGGCGGCGUGCCUAAUACAUGCAAGUAGAACGCUGAAGAGAGGAGCUUGCUCUUCUUGGAUGAGUUGCGAACGGGUGAGUAACGCGUAGGUAACCUGCCUUGUAGCGGGGGAUAACUAUUGGAAACGAUAGCUAAUACCGCAUAACAAUGGAUGACACAUGUCAUUUAUUUGAAAGGGGCAAUUGCUCCACUACAAGAUGGACCUGCGUUGUAUUAGCUAGUAGGUGAGGUAAUGGCUCACCUAGGCGACGAUACAUAGCCGACCUGAGAGGGUGAUCGGCCACACUGGGACUGAGACACGGCCCAGACUCCUACGGGAGGCAGCAGUAGGGAAUCUUCGGCAAUGGGGGCAACCCUGACCGAGCAACGCCGCGUGAGUGAAGAAGGUUUUCGGAUCGUAAUGCUCUGUUGUAAGUCAAGAACGGGUGUGAGAGUGGAAAGUUCACACUGUGACGGUAGCUUACCAGAAAGGGACGGCUAACUACGUG